UGGAUCACAAACCUGGCACCACUAUAAUUAUCAAUCAAGUUGCCAUUGAAAUUGACCUUGAGGAAGAUCAAAGGUGGAAGCUCCAAAGAGACGAAGAUCAUGCAUCUCACUCCACAAGUAGGGAAGUCCAAGACCGUUGUCCCAAUUUAUCAAAAUCACUCUCUCAGAAGAAGGGCUAACAAGCUACCAAAGCCCCCUCUUUUUCAGUCACACUAAAAUUAUCAGACACACACAC
rnacentral:lncRNA from 1 species